UACGAAGGGGGCUAGCGUUGCUCGGAAUCACUGGGCGUAAAGCGCACGUAGGCGGACUCUUAAGUCGGUGGUGAAAUCCUGGAGCUCAACUCCAGAACUGCCUUCGAUACUGAGAGUCUCGAGUCCGGGAGAGGUGAGUGGAACUGCGAGUGUAGAGGUGAAAUGCGUAGAGAUCGGCAGGAACACCCAGGGGGAAACCAGUGGACUGGGCAUGAGCUGACGCUCAGGUGCGAAAGCGUGGGGAGCGAACCGG
rnacentral:rRNA from 1 species